rnacentral:rRNA from 1 species
GAUGAACGCUGGCGGCGUGCUUAACACAUGCAAGUCGAACGAAGCACCUUAUUCUGAUUUCUUCGGAAUGAAAAAUUUGGUGACUGAGUGGCGGACGGGUGAGUAACGCGUGGGUAACCUGCCGCAUACAGGGGGGUAACAGUUAGAAAUGACUGCUAAUACCGCAUAAGACCACAGCACCGCAUGGUGCAGGGGUAAAAACUCCGGUGGUAUGAGAUGGACCCGCGACUGAUUAGGUAGUUGGUGGGGUAACAGCCUACCAAGCCGACGAUCAGUAGCCGACCUGAGAGGGUGACCGUCCACAUGUGUACUGAGACACGGCCCAAACUCCUACGGGAGGCAGCAGUUGGGAAUAUUGCACAAUGGGGGAAACCCUGAUGCAGCGACGCCGCGUGAGCGAUGAAGUAUCUCGGUAUGUAAAGCUCUAUCAGCAGGGAAGAAAAUGACAGUACCUGACUAAGAAGCACCGGCUAAAUACGUGCCAGCCGCCGCCGUAA